ACACUUACCUGGCAGGGGAGAUACAGUGAUCAACGAAGGUGGUUUUCCCAGGGUGAGGCUUCUCCAUUGCACUCCGCACGUGCUGACCCCUGCGAUUUCCCCAAAUGUGGGAAACGCGACUGCAUAAUUUGGGAAAGUGGGGGGCAGCCUUUGCGCUCUCCGCU